rnacentral:rRNA from 1 species
UACGGAGGGUGCAAGCGUUGUUCGGAAUCACUGGGCGUAAAGCGCACGUAGGCGGAUUGUUAAGUCAGGGGUGAAAUCCUGGAGCUCAACUCCAGAACUGCCUUUGAUACUGGCGAUCUCGAGUCCGGGAGAGGUGAGUGGAACUGCGAGUGUAGAGGUGAAAUUCGUAGAUAUUCGCAAGAACACCAGUGGCGAAGGCGGCUCACUGGCCCGGUACUGACGCUGAGGUGCGAAAGCGUGGGGAGCAAACAGG